UGGGGAAUAUUGCACAAUGGGCGCAAGCCUGAUGCAGCCAUGCCGCGUGUAUGAAGAAGGCCUUCGGGUUGUAAAGUACUUUCAGCGGGGAGGAAGGGAGUAAAGUUAAUACCUUUGCUCAUUGACGUUACCCGCAAAAGAAGCACCGGCUAACUCCGUGCCAGCAGCCGCGGUAAUACGGAGGGUGCAAGCGUUAAUCGGAAUUACUGGGCGUAAAGCGCACGCAGGCGGUUUGUUAAGUCAGAUGUGAAAUCCUCGGGCUCAACCUGGGAACUGCAUCUGAUACUGGCAAGCUUGAGUCUCGUAGAGGGGGGUAGAAUUCCAGGUGUAGCGGUGAAAUGCGUAGAGAUCUGGAGGAAUACCGGUGGCGAAGGCGGCCCCCUGGACGAAGACUGACGCUCAGGUGCGAAAGCGUGGGGAGCAAACAGG
rnacentral:rRNA from 1 species